UCGAACGAACUCUGGUAUUGAUUGGUGCUUGCAUCAUGAUUUACAUUCGUUUGAGUGGCGAACUGGUGAGUAACACGUGGGAAACCUGCCCAGAAGCGGGGGAUAACACCUGGAAACAGAUGCUAAUACCGCAUAAUAACUUGGACCGCAUGGUCCGAGCUUGAAAGAUGGCUUCGGCUAUCACUUUUGGAUGGUCCCGCGGCGUAUUAGCUAGAUGGUGGGGUAACGGCUCACCAUGGCAAUGAUACGUAGCCGACCUGAGAGGGUAAUCGGCCACAUUGGGACUGAGACACGGCCCAAACUCCUACGGGAGGCAGCAGUAGGGAAUCUUCCACAAUGGACGAAAGUCUGAUGGAGCAACGCCGCGUGAGUGAAGAAGGGUUUCGGCUCGUAAAACUCUGUUGUUAAAGAAGAACAUAUCUGAGAGUAACUGUUCAGGUAUUGACGGUAUUUAACCAGAAAGCCACGGCUAACUACGUGCCAGCAGCCGCGGUAAUACGUAGGUGGCAAGCGUUGUCCGGAUUUAUUGGGCGUAAAGCGAGCGCAGGCGGUUUUUUAAGUCUGAUGUGAAAGCCUUCGGCUCAACCGAAGAAGUGCAUCGGAAACUGGGAAACUUGAGUGCAGAAGAGGACAGUGGAACUCCAUGUGUAGCGGUGAAAUGCGUAGAUAUAUGGA
rnacentral:rRNA from 1 species